rnacentral:rRNA from 1 species
UACAGAGGGGGCAAGCGUUGUUCGGAAUUACUGGGCGUAAAGGGCGCGUAGGCGGCCUGAUAAGUCGGGGGUGAAAUCCUGUGGCUUAACUGCAGGGCUGCCUCCUAGACUGUUAGGCUCGAGCACGGUAGAGGCAGAUGGAAUUCCCGGUGUAGCGGUGGAAUGCGUAGAGAUCGGGAAGAACAUCGGUGGCGAAGGCGGUCUGCUGGGCCGUUGCUGACGCUGAGGCGCGACAGCGUGGGGAGCAAACAGG